CAAUAGCGUAUAUUAAAGUUGUUGCGGUUAAAACGCUCGUAGUUGGAUUUCUGUUGAGGGCAGCCGGUCCGCACUUCGUGCGUGUAUCUGGUUUGACCUCGGCAUCCUCUCAAAAUACGUUUCUGCGCUUGAUUGCGUGGAGCGGAGUUUGAGACUUUUACUUUGAGGAAAUUAGAGUGUUCACGGCAGGCAAUCGCCUUGAAUAUAUUAGCAUGGAAUAAUAAUAUAGGAUCUUGGUUCUAUUUUGUUGGUUUCUAGAGCUAAGAUAAUGAUUAAUAGGGACAAUCGGGGGCAUUCGUAUUAACGCGUCAGAGGUGGAAUUCUUGGAUUGCGUUACGACGAACUACUGCGAAAGCAUUUGCCAAGGAUGUUUUCAUUG
rnacentral:rRNA from 1 species